rnacentral:rRNA from 1 species
AACGAACGCUGGCGGCAUGCCUAACACAUGCAAGUCGAACGAUGCCUCCGGGCAUAGUGGCGCACGGGUGCGUAACGCGUGGGAAUCUGCCCUUGGGUUCGGAAUAACUCGCCGAAAGGCGAGCUAAUACCGGAUGAUGACGUAAGUCCAAAGAUUUAUCGCCCAAGGAUGAGCCCGCGUAGGAUUAGCUAGUUGGUGGGGUAAAGGCCCACCAAGGCGACGAUCCUUAGCUGGUCUGAGAGGAUGAUCAGCCACACUGGGACUGAGACACGGCCCAGACUCCUACGGGAGGCAGCAGUGGGGAAUAUUGGACAAUGGGCGAAAGCCUGAUCCAGCAAUGCCGCGUGAGUGAUGAAGGCCUUAGGGUUGUAAAGCUCUUUUACCCGGGAUGAUAAUGACAGUACCGGGAGAAUAAGCUCCGGCUAACUCCGUA